AGGGAAUCUUCGGCAAUGGACGGAAGUCUGACCGAGCAACGCCGCGUGAGUGAAGAAGGUUUUCGGAUCGUAAAGCUCUGUUGUAAGAGAAGAACGAGUGUGAGAGUGGAAAGUUCACACUGUGACGGUAUCUUACCAGAAAGGGACGGCUAACUACGUGCCAGCAGCCGCGGUAAUACGUAGGUCCCGAGCGUUGUCCGGAUUUAUUGGGCGUAAAGCGAGCGCAGGCGGUUAGAUAAGUCUGAAGUUAAAGGCUGUGGCUUAACCAUAGUACGCUUUGGAAACUGUUUAACUUGAGUGCAAGAGGGGAGAGUGGAAUUCCAUGUGUAGCGGUGAAAUGCGUAGAUAUAUGGAGGAACACCGGUGGCGAAAGCGGCUCUCUGGCUUGUAACUGACGCUGAGGCUCGAAAGCGUGGGGAGCAAACAGGAUUAGAUACCCUGGUAGUCCACGCCGUAAACGAUGAGUGCUAGGUGUUAGACCCUUUCCGGGGUUUAGUGCCGCAGCCAACGCAUUAAGCACUCCGCCUGGGGAGUACGACCGCAAGGUUG
rnacentral:rRNA from 1 species